CAGUAGCCGCGGUAAUACGGAGGAUCCAAGCGUUAUCCGGAAUCAUUGGGUUUAAAGGGUCCGUAGGCGGUUUAGUAAGUCAGUGGUGAAAGCCCAUCGCUCAACGGUGGAACGGCCAUUGAUACUGCUGAACUUGAAUUAUUAGGAAGUAACUAGAAUAUGUAGUGUAGCGGUGAAAUGCUUAGAGAUUACAUGGAAUACCAAUUGCGAAGGCAGGUUACUACUAAUUGAUUGACGCUGAUGGACGAAAGCGUGGGGAGCGAACAGGAUUAGAUACCCGGGUAGUCCCUGUCUCUUAUAC
rnacentral:rRNA from 1 species